UACAGCCUGGUCUGGACGGGUCAAUGGACAUUGUUUCGCCCAUACAGAGGUUUCCCCAUCUGAUCUAUAAGGAUGAUCUAACCGGACAGACCUGAUGGCCAGCUGUCUAAUGACCAAUGCAGACUCGUGGCCUACCGGGUGAUUCUGGAGUGGGUUCUGAGAGGAGAGCGCCUUGGCCGUAGCACCAGAAGAACAUUGCCUACCUGUGUUAUAGCAGCAAUCAGACAAGAGUACCCCUCCCCAACUGGAAGUUACACAGGAUUCAAAGAGGCAGAGGACAUUUUCUGAGUCAAAAACUAUCAUUUCUAGUAAUACUUGGUAUGGCCAUUACUAGGAAUAAACAAAGCAAUUGCACAGUUAAAUUAGGAAAACGUAAGAAUAUGUAUAUUGUACAAGUAAAGUUGAAUAAGUAAAUUGUAAGAAUAAAUAAAUUGUAAGAAUAAGUACAUUGUACAGUUCUAUACUGCACCUGUCUGUUACAGUGGUUUUAUAAUAUAACAAUACACAUUA